GGGGAAUAUUGGACAAUGGGCGAAAGCCUGAUCCAGCAAUGCCGCGUGAGUGAUGAAGGCCCUCGGGUUGUAAAGCUCUGUCGGGAGGGACGAACGGUCUCGGGUAACGCCGAGGAUUGACGGUACCUCCAAAGGAAGCACCGGCUAACUCUGUGCCAGCAGCCGCGGUAAUACAGAGGGCGCAAGCGUUGUUCGGAAUUACUGGGCGUAAAGCGCGUGUAGGCGGCGUCGUAAGUCGGAUGUGAAAGCCCUCGGCCCAACCGAGGAAGUGCAUCCGAUACUGCGGUGCUUGAGUGUCGGAGGGGGUGGCGGAAUUCCCGGUGUAGAGGUGAAAUUCGUAGAUAUCGGGAGGAACACCUGUGGCGAAGGCGGCCACCUGGACGACAACUGACGCUGAGACGCGAAAGCGUGGGUAGCAAAC
rnacentral:rRNA from 1 species